UGGUGACCAGCAGGAGCCAGGAAACAAAGAGGAAGGUGGUCUGUCUCCAGGUUGCUGAGCAUUGUAUGUAGAAUGCUAAGGCCCGUCUGACAUCCAGGAGAUAUAGACAGCGCUCUGCCUUAGAUGUCAGAUUUUGAAAAACACACAGAAGCUCAGAGAGUGCCCAACAAGAUCGACUGAAGUGUGGAUGAUGGAACAUUGAGGUGAUGAGGAGAGGCACAGCCACAGAUAGCAAUUGGGAGCAGGGUUCAAAUAGCAGUUGGGGGCAGGGUUCCCACCAAAACAGGAGUCAUGAAGCUUGGAAAGUUCCCUAUGUGGUCUCCGCCCAUGUGCAAAGCCCAGAAGUGUAAAAGAAAUGUACAGUGUCAAAGAAGCAAGCUAUCUGUCUUUGCUGCCAUCAUUGCCACAGAGUAGUCCUGAUAAUGGGCUCGAACCAGUCCUUGGAUUCAUCAUGAGUUUUCCUCCACUGUUGCCCCAGGUAUCUUCUCCAUGACUUCAUAGUCAGCAGUUCCAUGGAAAAGCAUGGAACCAACUUGGCUCUGUGGCUGAAGAGGGUGUUUUAGAGCAAUUGUAUCAAGAUGUCAAGCAUAAUCAUCAACCUUGUUGGCAGGAAAAUGUCUGAGACCCAUCCAGGAAUCCCUCUGAAACUGAUAUGAAGGCAUCAGUACCCAGAAUGUUGGGGGGCAAUAUGCUAAAUCAUUGUAAACCGCUUAGAGAGCUUCCAGCUAUAGAGCGGUAUAUAAAUGUAAGUGCUAUUGCUAUUGCUAUCAGUAGUUUUAAAAAGCAACAAAUUGAUCACCUCAUUUCACUUGCCAUAUUUGCAGAGGAUGUCAAAGGGAAGCAUAAAAUAUGCCGUGAAUAAAGGGGAUUAAAACAAAACAAAAAACCUUACCACAUAAACCAUGGCACAUCUACUAA